GAUGAACGCUAGCGGGAGGCCUAACACAUGCAAGCCGAGCGGUAUUGUUUCUUCGGAAAUGAGAGAGCGGCGUACGGGUGCGUAACACGUGUGCAACCUGCCUUUAUCUGGGGGAUAGCCUUUCGAAAGGAAGAUUAAUACUCCAUAAUAUAUUGAACGGCAUCGUUUAAUAUUGAAAGCUCCGGCGGAUAGAGAUGGGCACGCGCAAGAUUAGCUAGUUGGUGAGGUAACGGCUCACCAAGGCGAUGAUCUUUAGGGGGCCUGAGAGGGUGAUCCCCCACACCGGGACUUGGACAACGACCAGACUCCUACCGGAGGCAGGCGUGGGGAAUAAUGGGCAAUGGGGUGAAGGCUUAAACCGCCAACCCGCGUGAAGGACGACCGCCCUAUUGGUUUUAAACUUUCUUUGGAUAGGGAAUAACCCACCCUCGAGAGGGUAGCUGAAGGUACUAUACGAAUAAGCACCGGCUAACUCCGUG
rnacentral:rRNA from 1 species